AAUCAACGCUGGCGGCGUGCCUCAGACAUGCAAGUCGAACGAUUAAAGCUCUCUUCGGAGAGUGCAUAAAGUGGCGCACGGGUGAGUAACACGUAAGUAAUCUACCUUCGAGUGGGGAAUAACGUCCGGAACGGACGCUAAUACCGCAUAACGCAGCGGCAUCGCGAGAUGACAGUUGUUAAAGAUUUAUCGCUUGAAGAGGAGCUUGCGGCAGAUUAGCUUGUUGGUAAGGUAACGGCUUACCAAGGCUACGAUCUGUAUCCGGUCUAAGAGGACGGUCGGACACACUGACACUGAAUAACGGGUCAGACUCCUACGGGA
rnacentral:rRNA from 1 species